rnacentral:rRNA from 1 species
GAUGAACGCUGGCGGCGUGCCUAAUACAUGCAAGUCGAGCGAACGGACGAGAAGCUUGCUUCUCUGAUGUUAGCGGCGGACGGGUGAGUAACACGUGGAUAACCUACCUAUAAGACUGGGAUAACUUCGGGAAACCGGAGCUAAUACCGGAUAAUAUUUUGAACCGCAUGGUUCAAAAGUGAAAGACGGUCUUGCUGUCACUUAUAGAUGGAUCCGCGCUGCAUUAGCUAGUUGGUAAGGUAACGGCUUACCAAGGCAACGAUGCAUAGCCGACCUGAGAGGGUGGUCGGCCACACGGGAACUGAGACACGGUCCAGACUCCUACGGGAGGCAGCAGUAGGGAAUCUUCCGCAAUGGGCGAAAGCCUGACGGAGCAACGCCGCGUGAGUGAUGAAGGUCUUCGGAUCGUAAAGCUCUGUUAUUAGGGAAGAACAUAUGUGUAAGUAACUGUGAACAUCUUGACGGUACCUAAUCAGAAAGCCACGGCUAACUACGUG